CCUACGGGUGGCAGCAGUGGGGAAUAUUGGGCAAUGGGCGCAACUCUGACCCAGCAACGCCGCGUGAAUGAUGAAGGCCUUCGGGUUGUAAAGUUCUUUUCUCAGGGAAGAAGAAAGUGAAGGUACCUUAGGUAUAAGCCCAGGGUAACUACGUGCCAGCAGCCGCGGUAAUACGUAGGUGGCAAGCGUUAUCCGGAAUGAUUGGGCGUAAAGGGGGCGUAGGUGGUUUGGCAAGUUAGUAGUGAAACUCCAAGGCUCAACCGUGGGUCUGCGACUGGUACUGGUGGUCUUGAGUGCAGUAGGGGAGACCGGAAUUCCUGGUGUAGCGGUGGAAUGUGUAGAUAUUGGGAGGAACACCAGUGGCGAAGGCAGGUUGCUGGACCGUUACUGACGCUGAGGCGCGAAAGCGUGGGGAGCAAACAGGAUUAGAUACCCCAGUAGUC
rnacentral:rRNA from 1 species